rnacentral:rRNA from 1 species
AGCAGCCGCGGUAAUUCCAGCUCCAAUAGCGUAUAUUAAAGUUGUUGCAGUUAAAAAGCUCGUAGUUGAAUUUCGGGGUCAGUAGAUUGGUCAUGCCACUGGUAUGUACUGGUCUCACUGAUUCCUCCUUCCUGAUGAGACGUAAUGCCAUUAAUUUGGUGUUGCGAGGAAUCUGGACUGUUACUUUGAAAAAAUUAGAGUGUUUAAAGCAGGCUAACGCUUGAAUACAUUAGCAUGGAAUAAUGAAAUAGGACGUUCGAUCUUAUUUUGUUGGUUUCUAAGAUUGACGUAAUGAUUAAUAGGGAUAGUUGGGGGCAUUAGUAUUCAAUUGUCAGAGGUGAAAUUCUUGGAUUUAUUGAAGACUAACUACUGCGAAAGCAUUUGCCAAGGAUGUUUUCAUUAAUCAAGAACGAAAGUUAGGGGAUCGAAGACGAUCAGAUAGCCGUCGUAGUCUUAACCAUAAACUAUGCCGACUAGGGAUCGGAUGAUGU